rnacentral:lncRNA from 1 species
CCAGCCGAGAUUGAAGAUCCAUUGUUUGAUUUGGGUCAAGUGAGCACUCCUGGGAACUUCCCAGUCUUGCAUGGAAUCAGACAGACCGACCCUGUGUCCCCGCUGACCCUGCUUCCUGCUGCUUCAAAGAAUGCUCAGCCCUGAGGCAGGAAGUAGCUCUUCCAAAAGGCUAGCCAGCCUUGCCUGUCCCCAUAGGACUUCUUUCCUGGUGACUGCCAGGAAGCUUCAGCUGGGCGUUUUCUCACUUCUAGUUGCUGCCCAUCCUGGUUCUUGGGGAGGAGACCAGGGUUCUGAUCCCAUGUACCCAGGAAUGCUUUGACUCUGGAUGUGAGGAGGUUCUGAGUGAGGGCCCCGUGCCCUCUGGAGGCCUCACUUACACAGAGCCCAGGGCGAUGGCCAUUCCUGCCAUAGGUUGGACAGACUAGAAGGACUUCCUGAAGUCUAGCCACACUUGGCAAAGUAUUGUAACUGUCCUGAAUUCCCAUGUAAAUCAAAGUGCUUUUGGUACAAUAAAUAUAAAACUCCCCC